CCUACGGGAGGCAGCAGUGAGGAAUAUUGGUCAAUGGACGCAAGUCUGAACCAGCCAUGCCGCGUGCAGGAAGACGGCUCUCUGAGUUGUAAACUGCUUUUGUACGAGGGUAAACGCAGAUACGCGUAUCUGUCUGAAAGUGUCGUACGAAUAAGGAUCGGCUAACUCCGUGCCAGCAGCCGCGGUAAUACGGAGGAGUCAAGCGUUAUCCGGAUUUAUUGGGGUUAAAGGGUGCGUAGGCGGUCGGAUAAGUUAGAGGUGAAAUCCCGAGGCUCAACUUCGGAAUUGCCUCUGAUACUGUACGGCUAGAGAGUAGUUGCGGUAGGCGGAAUGUAUGGUGUAGCGGUGAAAUGCUUAGAGAUCAUACAGAACACCGAUUGCGAAGGCAGCUUACCAAGCUACUUCUGACGUUGAGGCACGAAAGCGUGGGGAGCAAACAGGAUUAGAUACCCUUGUAGUC
rnacentral:rRNA from 1 species